CCUGAUGCAGCAACGCCGCGUGAGGGACGACGGCCUUCGGGUUGUAAACCUCUUUUAGUAGGGAAGAAGCGAAAGUGACGGUACCUGCAGAAAAAGCACCGGCUAACUACGUGCCAGCAGCCGCGGUAAUACGUAGGGUGCAAGCGUUGUCCGGAAUUAUUGGGCGUAAAGAGCUCGUAGGCGGUUUGUCGCGUCUGCUGUGAAAACUGGAGGCUCAACCUCCAGCCUGCAGUGGGUACGGGCAGACUAGAGUGCGGUAGGGGAGAUUGGAAUUCCUGGUGUAGCGGUGGAAUGCGCAGAUAUCAGGAGGAACACCGAUGGCGAAGGCAGAUCUCUGGGCCGUAACUGACGCUGAGGAGCGAAAGCAUGGGGAGCGAACAGGAUUAGAUACCCUGGUAGUCCAUGCCGUAAACGUUGGGAACUAGAUGUGGGGGCCAUUCCACGGUCUCCGUGUCGCAGCUAACGCAUUAAGUUCCCCGCCUGGGGAGUACGGCCGCAAGGCUAAAACUCAAAGGAAUUGACGGGGGCCCGCACAAGCGGCGGAGCAUGCGGAUUAAUUCGAUGCAACGCGAAGAACCUUACCAAGGCUUGACAUAUACGAGAACGGGCCAGAAAUGGUCAACUCUUUGGACACUCGU
rnacentral:rRNA from 1 species